rnacentral:rRNA from 1 species
UGGCUGUCCGAGUUGUAACCUAGAGAAGUGCUUACCUGCGCUGGACCAUGUAUAAGUCUCCUGGAAUGGAGCAUCACAGAGGGUGAGAAUCCUGUCUUUGACAUGGACUGCCAGUGUGUUGUGGUGUGCUCUCAAAGAGUCGAGUUGUUUGGGAAUGCAGCUCUAAAUGGGUGGUAAACUCCAUCUAAAGCUAAAUACUGGCGAGAGACCGAUAGUGAACAAGUACCGUGAGGGAAAGAUGAAAAGGACUUUGGAAAGAGAGUUAAACAGUAUGUGAAAUUGUUGAAAGGGAAACGCUUGAAGUCAGUUAUGUUGGCUAGGGAUCAACCUAGCUAUUUUUCUGGGUGAUUUUCCUAGUCUGACAGGCCAACAUCAGUCUUGGCUGCUGGAAAAGAGCAGAGGGAAUGUGGCACCUUUGGGUGUGUUAUAGCCCUUUGUCAUAUGUGGCAGUUGGGACUGAGGGAUGCAGCGUGCCGCGAGGCUGGGUUUUUUUUGACCACGUUCACGCUUAGGAUGUUGGCUUUUAAUGGCUUCAAUCGACCCGUCUUGAAACACGGACCAAGGAGUCUAACAUGCCUGCGAGUGUUUGGGUGGGGAAAACCCUUGUGCACAAUGAAAGUGAAAGUUGAGAUCCCUGUCAUGGGGAGCAUCGACGCCUGGACCUGAGCUUUUAGCAAUGGAUCCACGGUAGAGCAUGCAUGUUGGGACCCGAAAGAUGGUGAACUAUGCCUGAAUAGGGCAAAGCCAGAGGAAACUCUGGUGGAGGCUCGUAGCGAUUCUGACGUGCAAAUCGAUCGUCAA